UAGAGUCUACACUGUUUGUUCCCGGCAGU
rnacentral:piRNA from 1 species